rnacentral:rRNA from 1 species
AUUGAACGCUGGCGGCAGGCCUAACACAUGCAAGUCGAGCGGAUCGGCGGUCGGGUGCGUAAUGCCUAGGUAUCUGCCUGUUAGUGGGGGAUAACGUCCGGAAACGGGCGCUAUUACCGCAUACUAUACGAUUAGCCUAGGUGGGAUUAGCUAGUUGGUGGGGUAAAGGCCUACCAAGGCGACGAUCCGUAACUGGUCUGAGAGGAUGAUCAGUCAAACUGGAAAUGAGACACGGUCCAGACUCAUACGGGAGGCAGCAGUGGGGAAUAUUGGACAAUGGGCGAAAGCCUGAUCCAGCCAUGCCGCGUGUGUGAAGAAGGUCUUCGGAUUGUAAAGCACUUUAAGUUGGGAGGCGUUACCAACAGAAUAAGCACCGGCUAACUUCGUGCCAGCAGCCGCGGUAAUUC